CCUGGGUGACAGAGUGAGAUUCUGUCUUGGAAAAAAAAAAAAAAGUUAAUUGCUUUUGAAGUCAUCCCCCUUGAUUCCAGAAGAUCUGUUGUUAGAGGGUGAUUAAUUUUGUUUGUUUGCUUACUUCUGAAGCAUUUCUUUGAACUUGAUCUGUGGGAGUCUAAUCCUGCUAACCUUUCGAGUUCUUUAACCACAAAUUUCCAGCCUCUUUCUGGAUCAGAGUAGUUACAGUCUAUAAGAUGAGGGAAACCCAGUUUUCCAGCUAAGUGACCUCCAUAGGAUUCUGCAAUACAUAGAAAUAUCCAACAUUCCUCUUCCUCAAAGAUAAGAGAAACUGCUGGGGCCCAUUUCUCUCAGCCCAUCCAGAGGUUAUCUGGGAUGUUUAUCCAGGGCAUAGGAAAGCAGAGUUAACUGAUAAUAUUCCUGUAAAAUGGUUGCUGAGGGGAUGUUUAAUGCUGUUACACAGGAAACUGUGCUGAGUAGGGGCUUUUGUUUUCAGAUGAGACUCUGGACAGGAAGUGAAUCUUCAAGGAAGCAACAAAAUUCUACCUUUGGCUUUUGCUGGCUGAGCAGGGAAAGGCCUGUAGUCACAGGGCAUUUUGGGCAAGAGCUAGAACAGCACUCCCUGGAACACUACAUAAAGCAGCCAUAUUUCGCAAAGCAUAGGGAAGAGUGAAAGUCAUCAGGGCACUUGCAGGCACAAAACAGCCCUGAAGCUGAAACACCAGCAUGUACUGGGCAGGACUUGUGAGAUAAGACAGGACAUCCGAAGCUAAACAUGGAUCCCCUCUGAAAGCUACAAUCACAUUGUCAUCCACACAAUCUUAUCUCAAACCUUGACUAGAGAAGGACCUAUUCCAAGAUUACAUCGUUGAAUGAACUCAGUCCUUGCAGCCUGUUGAACUGAGGGCCUCCCCAGCUUACUCACCUGCUUCAUUGAAGUCUGCAAGACAGAGAGAGAGAGUCCACUAGCAAGAGAACACUACAGUCUUAUCUAAUGUAAUCACUGAAGUGGCAUCCUGUCACCUUGGUCACCUUUUCUAUCCCGUUCAUUAUAAAUGAGUCCCAAGUCCUGCCACACUCAAGUGGAGGGGAUUACACACGGCUGGAGUGUCAGGGGUGGGGAUAAUUGGGGGUAAUCUUGGAGUUCUUCCAUCACACAGGCAUUCUCAGCUGACCAAAUCUGGGAUUCUGCAUCUGGCUAUUCCUGAAGCUGGAGGCCUGGCAUAUUUUUUAGUGUCUAUUUGGAUCAGCUAAUAAACCCAGUGUUUGUCUGCUGGCUGGAGGAGUAAAACCUUUAAGGCUAAUUAAAAUGAAUCUACUUAAAACAGUGACCUGAUUUAUCUAAUAAUUACUAGAAGGUAAGGGUUGAUUGAGACUUUAAAAUCAAACCAAAAAUUAUUUUAAGUUUACAUAUUUUAUGUAAGAAAGUUUUUAUUUUUACUGCAAACAUUUUCUAACUAUUAAAGAAUGGAAAAUUCAAGUGUUGAUAUUUUCCCAACAUAUAUUAUAUACAGGAAUAUAAUGUAGCUUCCUUGUAUUUUAUCUUUGAUUUACACAGAGAAUUUUUAUACAAAUAUUCCAGGCUCAUUAGUUUUCCCAAAGGCUUCUCGAAAUCCUUUGAUAUUUAAAUCAUUCCCUCUUUAAAGUCAUAUUUUAUCUUACUUGUCAAUACUCUUUUUGUUAAUUUGCCCACCUCAUCUGGAUCUUCCUUUGUCACUGACUUCGUAGAUUUGACUACUUCAACAACGCUCCUAGAAACUUUGUGAAAUCCUUUGUCUUUUGCAAGAUUUAAAAAUUUCCUUUAUAAUAAGCAAUCUAUAGUAAGUGAAGACUCACUAGCAAAUAUAUAUAAGUGAUGGAUCAAGAGAGACAAAGUGUUAAACAUGGAGAGAUGCAAUUUGUAAAAGUGAAAUUCUUAAUUACACUCUAACAAAAUGAGUCCAGGGCCUGUAUGCUGGACACUACAAAACAGUAAUGAAAGGAAUCAAAGAGGGCAUAAAUAAAUGGGGAGAUCUACCAUGUUCAUGAAUUGGAAGUCUCAGAAUUAUUAAAAUAUAAAUUAUUUCCAAAUUGAUCUAUAGAUUCAACCCAAUCACAAUCAAAAUCCUAACUGGCUUUUUUGUAUAAAUUGACAAGCUGAUUCCAACAUUCACAUACAAAUCCAAAGAAUGCAGAAGAGCCAAACAGCUUUGAGAAAGAACAAAGCUAAAGGAUUCACAUUAUCUGAUUCCAAAACUUCUUAUAAAGCUACAGUCAUCAAGUCAAUAUGGUACCAGCAAAAGAAGAGACACAUUCUAUGUAUCUAACUAUAGAUCUAUGUAGAAUAUAAUACAGAGUUCAGAAAUACAUCCACAAAUAAGAUCAAUUGAAUUUUGCCAAACAUGAAAAAACAAUUCAGUGGAGAAAGGACAGAAUUUUCAACAAAUCAUGCUGAAACAAUUAGACAUCCAUAUGCAGGAAAAAAAUCUUUGACCUAUAUGUUCAUUUUAUACAAAAAAUUAAUUCAAAACAAUCAUAGACCUAAGUGUAAAAUAUAAAAACCUUUAAACUUUUAAAAUAAAAUAUAGGUAAAAUCUUCAUGACCUACGGUUAGGCAGAGUUUUUGGAGAUGACACUGAGAACUUAAUUCA